GGCUUUGUAGCUCAGCUGAUAGAGCGCUUGCCGCGUAGAGGCAUGGUGUUUUCUGUCACUGGUUCGAAUCCAGCCGAAGCCC